UACGUAGGGGGCUAGCGUUAUCCGGAAUUACUGGGCGUAAAGGGUGCGUAGGUGGUUUCUUAAGUCAGAGGUGAAAGGCUACGGCUCAACCGUAGUAAGCCUUUGAAACUGAGAAACUUGAGUGCAGGAGAGGAGAGUAGAAUUCCUAGUGUAGCGGUGAAAUGCGUAGAUAUUAGGAGGAAUACCAGUGGCGAAGGCGGCUUUCUGGACUGACCCUGACGCUGAGGUGCGAAAGCGUGGGUAGCAAACAGGAUUAGAUACCCGUGUAGUCCCUGAGCGGG
rnacentral:rRNA from 1 species